rnacentral:rRNA from 1 species
AGUGAACGCUGGCGGUAGGCCUAACACAUGCAAGUCGAACGGCAGCACCGUGAGUGCUUGCUCUUACGGGUGGAGAAUGUCGGACGGGUGAGGAAUACAUCGGACAAUACUUUUUCGUGGGGGCUAACGUCGGGAAAGUUCCGCUGGUACAGCAUACGACCUACGGGUGAAAGCCGGGGAUCUUCUGACCUUGUGCGAUUGAAUGAGCCGAUGUCGGAGUAGCUAGUUGGCGGGGUAAAGGCCCCACAAGGCGACGAUCGGUAGCUGGUCUGAGAGGAUGAUCAGGCACAUGGGAACGGAGAAACGGUCCAGACACCUGCGGUAGGCAGCAGUGGAGAAUAUUGGACAAUGGGGGAGAGCCUGAUCCAGCCAAACCGCGUGGGUGAUGAAGGCGUUCUGGUGGGAAAGCCCUGUUGUUCUGAAAGAAGAGCAGCUGUUUAAGCCCCCGCUGUACUGACGGUACCCAAAGAAUAAGCACCGGCUAACUUCGUG